AAGCAUGUCAAGGCUUGGAGCAACGUGCUUUGCAAGGCAGAUGAAGAACAGGGACAGGUUUAAAGGAAAGCAUUAGUAAAUCCCAGCCAAGUGCUUUUGAAGUGGUCUGGAGAGAAGAGGAUGCUUGAACACAGCCUGAACCUUCCAAGCAGGGAGAGAAGGAAGGAUUUGGACCAUCUCUUUUCCCACCACUGGUUGAUAAUGCUUUCUGCUAAUGAAGAUUAAUGUGACAAGGGCAAGGGUUUUAUUUAAUAAGCAUUUAUUUCUUGUAUUAUUUUGGUAUGUUCUUCCUUGAAGAUUCAACUAGAAAGCAGAGUUCCUAUUGGGAUUACAUUGUGAGAACCAAAGACCAGAAAGGCUCCAGACUGGUGCCAUGAUCACUCCGUGAGGUCCUGCAGCACAAAUAAAAUGAACUUUUGAUGGAAAUAGCGUGAUACCAGUGACCAACUGCCAAACAGAGGAGAGCAGAGAAAUAGGCCUGGGCCUGGCUGUUAACCUGUCAUACCGAAGUCCUGAAUACGUCAGGUAGAAGCCUUGCUGGUCUCUAAAAAGCACAGAGAGGAAAGGGAAAAAGUUCUCUCAGGUUCUGGGAUGUAAAAACUGGAUUUUUAGGAGCUGCCUGCUAAACUAUUGGUUGGUAUUAGGGGGGUUGAUUCAACCAGAGUCUCAUGAGGGUCUUGCUCCAUGGACGAAAAUCAUCUCAGCAAGAACUACAUUAUCUCUGUUUGACUUGGUGGCAAAACAGCUUCAUCCACUGGAAACAGGGGGGUGUAAAGAACGUCAUUCGUUGUCAUUGCAGCUUACAGGGAACCCUGGAAGAGUAACUCUUUCCUCUGUGAAACGAGCCUGUAUUCUUUGGAGAAGAAUGGGGAAGGAAAGUCUCAAAUAAAUGGAUGUAAUUGCCUUCAUUAAAAGCUGACUGAACAGACUUUAUCCUGUGGGGUCUACUCUCUCUCUCUGAGUCUGGCCCUCUGAACUGAGAUGCAAGGAGAGAUAUCAACAUCAUGUCUUCAGAGGAUGAAUAACUUCCCAAGAAGCUUACACUACAUUAAGACCCAUCUUCACAAUGAACAUUCCUAGGAGAAGAGAGUGCAGGUGGCUGGGCCUUACGAGGGAGCCUUUGAGAAGUUAUUUUGGUGAAAAGCUGGCUGCCACCCACUGUGCUUCUCUGCCAGCCGCCGUGCUCCUUCACUCUCACCACACCUCUCUCAUCCUCAAGAUGUUUGAAGAGCUUGUAUUCAAGGUGUGGAACAUCUGUGUGAUCCAGCCUGUAAAAUACCAUAGUGGAAGAUAUUUUUUGACUGCUUCCUUGCACAUGGGCAAGCACUGCUGUACUCCCUGCUGUCCGCCCAGUGCCUCCACAGAGCCCUCCGAGCUCUGCAAUAUGGAUGCGUGCAUACAAGGCCCCACUAGAGACAACCCGCACAUGCUGAUACCAGCCCUCACCUUGAAUGUGCCUGCAGAACAGCCCUGCUUCCCACACCUUCUUGCAGCCCCAGAGGGAACCCCCAUGGACUGGGCUGUGCAGCUGCCCGCAGCGCUGGAAUAUCGUCUGAUGUUUGCCUGACUCAGGUCACUGCACAAAGACAUGCCAGCCUGCCAGGCUCAUUUGUUAUUUUGGAAAUGACCCGCCACGGUUCCUGCACUGCUAAUUGGCCAUGAUCCAUUUCCUGUUUUAUGAAUUCAUCUCCUGGUCCUGCUGCCUGGUCCAAGGGGUGCCAAGUACAUCAAAACUGCAUCUCUGGAGUGAAAGGAAGGAAGAAAAUAAGACUGAAGGCAAUAGAGUUACACUGAAGAUGGCUUUGGCCCAAGGGUUUAUGCAAAACAGAUUUGUGAUGUUGCAAAUUUGUAUUUUUCCUUUCUGUUUCAAAAUGGGAAAGAGCAGAAACAGUUGAUACUGUCAUGAAAUUUCAAGACUGAAACACAAAGUAUUGGAAACUUGAGUGUCCUUAAUAGUGCUAAUCCAAGCCUGCUGGACCUGUGGACCAUUUUUGCAAUCAAAUGCUUAAGAAAUGCAGUGCAGUGAACUGAAUACUAUAAUUCUAACAGGAAAUUUCUCACUAAAAUCAGUGAGAAUUUUGUCUAUGUGAGGCUUACAAGAUUGGUUAGUACUUGAAGAACAACUUUUCUUCUUCCAUAAAGAUCCUCGCUGAUGGGUUCCUAUACUUCACCAGCUUCUCUUCUUUUCCUCUGUCAGAUUACAACAGAGGAUGGCAUGCUCUGAGUGCAGCUCCAAUACGUGGCACGUGGCUGUAUCUUUUGUUCUUAAAUUACAUGACUCUUGAGACAAGAAAACCUGCCAGAAAUCAGCCUUUGGAUGAGGAAGGCCAGGUCCCAGCUGAACCAAGCAGCACAAGUAGGAACUAUACCAAAGAAGUGGGCUCACCCAGAGCAUUCAUUGAAGUGGUGCAGAGCAUUGGGCACAUGCUGGAUCUUCCACAAAGCUUGGAGAGCUGGGCAGCCUCCAUUCCUAUCAACAUCUUCCUCACCUUUCCUCCUGUGAAGAGACAAGGAACCACCAACACAACUGCAGAACCCCAUGGACUCCCGUAUCUGCACAAGGAGGAGACUGUGUGACCCUGAUCUUGGCCAGCAUAGCACAAGGCUCCCCAGCAGUCACCUGCUUGAACCUAACACAUCACGGUCAGCUUCUAGUGAUAAUACAGCAUUCCUUAAUUUUGAAAGCAAUUAUGGGUCUGAGUUCAGGUUUUUUUUUCCCCAGAUUAAAGUCAAUAAAACACUCGGACAUCCGGAUUCCAAUCACAUGCAUAUUACUAACUGUGAUAUUUGUAUCGCUGAUCCAGAAGCCAAUCACAACACUAACUCACUCUAUUGCUAAAAUAAGGAUAGCUUCCUCAUAAGCCAAAAUAACAGCCUGUUAUCCCUUCCAAAGCCACCGUUUUUCUGGCCUCGCAGGAACAAAGGAACAGGAGGUAGGCAAUACUCUUAUGGGGAAAGUAAACUAUCCCUCGCACAAGAAGCUUUUAAACCUAAGCACAUGUACUUGACAUACUCAUUUUCUGAAACUCUAUAUUUUCAUGUAUCCCUCCUCUUAUGACAUACCUCUUACAGUAUGUUGGAAUCAGUCCUGUCUUAUCAUCAUUGCCAUGGUUACCUUAUCAUCAUUACAGUAUAUAUGUGUUGCUAUAAUACUACUGUGGAUGUCAUAUCAAAAUUCCCUAAAGCAAAAUGAUCCCAGAACUUACUCUGUACACAUCUCAGGUUGCUAAGCAUUGAUAGCUUUAUUAUAUGUUUCCCAGCUAAAACAAAGUUAGCUUGUAUGCCUCUGCUGACAUACAGCUCUUUGUCCUUUCUGGUAGAAGGCAAAUUAUUCCAUGUAUCAUCUUCACUGUAAGCUACUUCCUUACAUCAAAUAAAAAUUCCACUCUUGACUGGAUAUCUCAGCAACCUGAUUUUCCUUUACUUAUAUUACUGUAUUACUAAAAUUCACAAGAAUGUUGAUACUGGAGGCAAGGAGCAUGUUAGUCAGUCAAGUUAAGCACUGUGAUAUUGCAGAUACAGAGGUCAUGAUACGAAGAUGUGGCACAGCUCAAAACCCAGGGCAGAGUAUAUACGGGCUUGGGAUAAAGAAAACCCUUUGCUAGGGUUGUGUGGCUGUGGGAUGAUCUUUCAGUGUAGAGUGGAGGAGCACAGAUGUUAACAUCUGGUUUUAAUCCAAAAUCUGUAUUACCCUCCAAUGUGCGCUGGGGACUAUGAAUGCAAAACUCUUAACAUAAGCAGAAUUCCUUAUGUGUAAUAAGGAUUUUGGUAAUGCGUUUGGCUCUAUGUGGAGGAUGCACAAGCCUUGUAUGUCACAGACUAGAUCUUGCCACAUGCUUCCACUCCUCUCUGGAUAGACUCACUCAUAGGAUGGAUUGCCCCUGCUUUUUUCAUGGCACUUUCCCACUGACGAGGUGUCUGGGGAAGCUGGGUACAGAUAUAACUUAAAUAUCUUUUACCUUCGGUGACUGAAUGCUCAUUCUUCUGAAAGACAAAAGCAAAGCCUUGACUGGAGAAGAGAAUGUGUACACACGUAAUUGUGCAUCUGUCUAUGUAACCAUGUUUUAUGUAUGGAAUCGCAAGAAAACAUGUCUAACUCAAAUGAUGAUUGAACUGAUACUCAACUAAGUUCUAACUACCAGAUUUUCCAUCGUGUUCAUCCUUAUAACAGCUCCUUACUACAUUCUCAAGCAGAGGCUUUGAAUAUGAGGCUAAGAGUACAGUGGAGUGAAGAAAGUGAUUCAUUACUGGGAAUAAAAAACCCAGUCUUCAUGGAUGAUACAUUGCCUAUAUACAUGAUUACAG
ensembl:lncRNA